GUGCUCACUUCUGCAGUACAUGUACUAAAAACUGGAACAAUACAAAGAAGAUUAGCGUGGCCCCUGCUCAAGGAUGACACAAAAAUUUGUGAAGCAUUCCACAUUUUU